rnacentral:rRNA from 1 species
CAGUGGGUACGGGCAGACUAGAGUGCGGUAGGGGAGAUUGGAAUUCCUGGUGUAGCGGUGGAAUGCGCAGAUAUCAGGAGGAACACCGAUGGCGAAGGCAGAUCUCUGGGCCGUAACUGACGCUGAGGAGCGAAAGCGUGGGGAGCGAACAGGAUUAGAUACCCUGGUAGUCCACGCCGUAAACGUUGGGCGCUAGAUGUAGGGACCUUUCCACGGUUUCUGUGUCGUAGCUAACGCAUUAAGCGCCCCGCCUGGGGAGUACGGCCGCAAGGCUAAAACUCAAAGGAAUUGACGGGGGCCCGCACAAGCGGCGGAGCAUGCGGAUUAAUUCGAUGCAACGCGAAGAACCUUACCAAGGCUUGACAUACACCGGAAACGGCCAGAGAUGGUCGCCCCCUUGUGGUCGGUGUACAGGUGGUGCAUGGUUGUCGUCAGCUCGUGUCGUGAGAUGUUGGGUUAAGUCCCGCAACGAGCGCAACCCUCGUUCUAUGUUGCCAGCGCGUUAUGGCGGGGACUCAUAGGAGACUGCCGGGGUCAACUCGGAGGAAGGUGGGGAUGACGUCAAAUCAUCAUGCCCCUUAUGUCUUGGGCUUCACGCAUGCUACAAUGGCCGGUACAAAGGGCUGCGAUACCGUAAGGUGGAGCGAAUCCCAAAAAGCCGGUCUCAGUUCGGAUUGAGGUCUGCAACUCGACCUCAUGAAGUCGGAGUCGCUAGUAAUCGCAGAUCAGCAACGCUGCGG